AACAACGGAUCUCUUGGUUCUGGCAUCGAUGAAGAACGCAGCGAAAUGCGAUAAGUAAUGUGAAUUGCAGAAUUCAGUGAAUCAUCGAAUCUUUGAACGCACAUUGCGCCCGUCAGUAUUCUGGCGGGCAUGCCUGUUCGAGCGUCAUUACGCCCCUC
rnacentral:rRNA from 1 species